rnacentral:lncRNA from 1 species
CACUGGUGGCUGGGUGACCUUAGGCAAGUCAUUCUUCCUCUCUUGGUCUCAGCUUUCUUAUCUGCAAAAUGGGAUGCUGAGCGUGCCUUUGCUGACCUCCUAGGACUGUGACAGUGUUCAAAGGACACACCGAGAGAGAAGGGCUUUACACAGCCACAUUUAAUUCCCCACCAUUCAUGCUGUGUGAUUACCUGGGCCCAUGCCUGCUUGGCACUCUACCCCCAAUGUCUGUCACCCAGGCUGGAGUGCAGNNNNNNNNNNAAGUAGCUGGGAUUACAGGCGUGCACCACCACGCCGGGCUAAUUUUUUUUGUAUACGGUGCCUAUUUUAAUUACUUGCUUAUGAAUGUGUCUACCUGGCUGGACAAGCUGUUCCCUCUGCCCGGAAUGCUUUCCCUGCUCUUCCCAUUGCUGGCUCCUUUUUCUCCUUCAGACCUCAGCUUAAAUGUCACCUCCUCCGAGAGGCCCACCCUGACCACCCUGGCUAAAGCAAUUGUCUCUUGCUGUGUUCUGUCUCAGUCUCAGUUUCCUUUACUGACCCUCAUCACAAUUUGUAAUUAUAUUAGAAAACGGUUUGUAAACUUGUGUGUUGUCUUUUUUCAUGCACUGAAAGUACCUGGAAAGGGGAGGAGGAGCCGGGGCUGUCUGGCUUUCAUUGUUUCUCCAGCCCCUAGCAGAGCCGCGGGCCGAUAGUAGGCACUUGAUGUGUACAGGUUGAUUGAAUCAAUGUGCCUCUUACAAGGUACCAUCAGAAUCAGAUGAGAAAGUGGGUGAGAAAAUAUUUAGCUGAGUCUGUGCCUGUCUGGGUAACACCAGAGU